rnacentral:rRNA from 1 species
GACGAACGCUGGCGGCGUGCUUAACACAUGCAAGUCGAACGGAAAGGCCCUGCUUUUGUGGGGUGCUCGAGUGGCGAACGGGUGAGUAACACGUGAGUAACCUGCCCUUGUCUUUGGGAUAACUUCAGGAAACUGGGGCUAAUACCGGAUAGGAGCUCCUGCUGCAUGGUGGGGGUUGGAAAGUUUCGGCGGUUGGGGAUGGACUCGCGGCUUAUCAGCUUGUUGGUGGGGUAGUGGCUUACCAAGGUUUUGACGGGUAGCCGGCCUGAGAGGGUGACCGGCCACAUUGGGACUGAGAUACGGCGCAGACUCCUACGGGAGGCAGCAGUGGGGAGUAUUACGCAGUGGGGGGAAGCCUGAUGCGGCAACGCCGCGUGCGGGAUGACGGCCUUCGGGUUGUAAACCGCUUUCGCCUGUGACGAAGCGUGAGUGACGGUAAUGGGUAAAGAAGCACCGGCUAACUACGUG